GACGAACGCUGGCGGCGUGCCUAACACAUGCAAGUCAACUUGACUGAAGGAGCAAUCUGACAGUAGAGUGGCGCAAGGGUGCGUAACGCGUAAGUAACUUGCCCCAAGGUAAGGAAUAACGUCGAGAAAUCGGCGCUAAUUCCUCAUAAUGCAGCGGAUCCGCAUGGAUAUGUUGUUAAAGGUUUACCGCCUUGGGAUAGGCUUGCGUCUGAUUAGUUAGUUGGUGUGGUAACGGCACACCAAGGCUACGAUCAGUAACUGGUCUGAGAGGAUGAUCAGUCACACUGGAACUGAGACACGGUCCAGACUCCUACGGGAGGCAGCAGUGAGGAAUAUUGGGCAAUGCUCGAAAGAGUGACCCAGCAACGCCGCGUGGAGGAUGAAGGUAUUCUAUAUCGUAAACUCCUGUGAGAGCAGACGAAAGACAGAUUAUUAAUCUGGAUGACUGUAUGCUCAGAGGAAGCCCCGGCUAACUACGU
rnacentral:rRNA from 1 species